GGACUACUGGGGUUUCUAAUCCCGUUCGCUCCCCUGGCUUUCGCGUCUCAGCGUCAGUAAGAGCCCAGGACCUCGCUUUCGCCACGGGCGUUCCUUCCGAUCUCAACGCAUUUCACCGCUCCACCGGAAGUUCCAGGUCCCCCUACUCCCCUCCAGGCCAGUCGUAUCGGUGCCCGUUCCCCGGUUGAGCCGGGGGAUUUCAGCGCCCGACGUGCUGGCCCGCCUACACGCGCUUUAAGCCCAGUGAUUCCGAAUAACGUUCGCACGGUUCGUCUUACCGCGGCUGCUGGCAC
rnacentral:rRNA from 3 species